rnacentral:lncRNA from 1 species
CAGCAAAGCAUGUAAGCGUAUUUCCAUGUAUCUUUUUUUCUUUCCCUUCCUUAUAGCAUGUUGAGUUAUCUUCACUCCAUGAACUAUGUUUUGAUAUAUAGUGUGAUUACAUUACCCUUUAAUUGAUCACAGGGAUUUGCAGGAGCUGCAUCCAGAUACAUAGGCUUAAAAACAGCAAUGCAUUUACUCGGCCCUAUGUAAUAUACACUGCCAUAUUUCUCGAGAACAAUAGCAUUCAAAUUACAUAAGCACAUGGAUACGCGUAAUUUUCUUCUUUAACUUGUUUUUUUAUUCGGAAAAAAAUAAUUGUGGAAUCUGCAGGAUGUGGGGGACACUACUAGCUGACUUGGUUAUUCAGAUGCUCGAGACAGACUAUGCUAGAAUCUUACGAGCAAUUUACGCAUUUGCACAGGUACUUCUCUUUACACCGAAGUCUGCAUUUUUUGUUUUGGCACAAUAUACAUGAUUUCUAUAUGGUUGUUGCACAAACACAAAGAGGGGUUAAAAAAGGAUUGUUUUGUUUUCCAGAUUCGGAUCACGAGGACAUACAGGCUACCUUGUAAAUGAAGUAACAGUAUGCUUUUCUCAAGAUUCUCAAUCUCAGUGUCCUCACGAGUUAUGUCGGUAAAUAAUGAUUAUCACGCUGUAUCAUACUCGCUUGUGGUUGAAACGAAAUUAGACGCUACUCGAAUAGAAUAGAUG